GUCUAAGGCCAUGCUACCCUGAACAAACCCAAUCCGUUCUGAUCUCGGAAGCUAAGCAGGGUCAGGCCUGGUUAGUACUUGGAUGGGAGACCACCUAGGAAGACCAGGUGCUGUAGGCG
rnacentral:rRNA from 1 species